UACGAAGGGGGCGAGCGUUGUUCGGAUUUACUGGGCGUAAAGGGCGCGCAGGCGGCUUAUUUUGUCAGGCGUGAAAGCCCCGGGCUUAACCUGGGAACUGCGUUUGAUACGGAUGGGCUAGAGUUCGGGAGAGGAGAGUGGAAUUCCCAGUGUAGAGGUGAAAUUCGUAGAUAUCGGGAGGAACACCGGUGGCGAAGGCGGCGAUCUGGGUCGAUACUGACGCUGAGGUGCGAAAGCGUGGGGAGCAAACAGG
rnacentral:rRNA from 1 species